rnacentral:rRNA from 1 species
GGCGCACGGGUGCGUAACGCGUGGGAAUCUGCCCUUGGGUCCGGAACAACAGUUGGAAACGACUGCUAAUACCGGAUGAUGACUUCGGUCCAAAGAUUUAUCGCCCAGGGAUGAGCCCGCGUAGGAUUAGCUUGUUGGUGAGGUAAAAGCUCACCAAGGCGACGAUCCUUAGCUGGUCUGGGAGGAUGAUCGGCCACACUGGGACUGCGACACGGCUCAGACUCCUACGGGAGGCAGCAGUGGGGAAUAUUGGACAAUGGGCGAAAGCCUGAUCCAGCAAUGCCGCGUGAGUGAUGAAGGCCUUAGGGUUGUAAAGCUCUUUUACCCGGGAUGAUAAUGACAGUACCGGGAGAAUAAGCCCCGGCUAACUCCGUGCCAGCAGCCGCGGUAAUAUGGAGGGGGCUAGCGUUGUUCGGAAUUACUGGACGUAAAGCGCACGUAGGCGGCUUUGUAAGUUAGAGGUGAAAGCCCAGGGCUCAACCCUGGAAUUGCCUUUAAGACUGCAUCGCUCGAAUCAUGGAGAGGUGAGUGGAAUUCCGAGUGUAGAGGUGAAAUUCGUAGAUAUUCGGAAGAACACCAGUGGCGAAGGCGACU